ACAAUAAAAGUCUAUGCAUACUCAAUGAAUGUGCACAAUCGGUUCCAAUCAUCACAUGAUUUCGACUAUUUUUCGAUACAAGGUAAACGAAUGUACUAGUUCACUGGUGAUAUUUUAUUGUAAACAAAGUAACGAUUCAUAAAAUCAACACAGCGCAAUCAUUUAUCAUGGAUAUCUUACUAAAUAUACAUAAUUCCUGGAAAGAGCUCGAUCCACGAACAAUCGAUCUACCAUUAGUUGCUUCUUCCUAUCAAGUACCACUUAUAAUAUUCGCAUAUCUGUACUUCGUGCUCGGCUGUGGACCUAAAUUCAUGAAGAACAGGCCGCCAUACAAAUUGAAAACAUUUAUACAGUUGUACAAUAUUAUUCAAAUUUUGGCAAAUGUGUGGCAAAUUUACGACAUAAUUGAGGCUGUUUGCAAGAAUUAUAUGGUAUUACUUUCUGUUAAAAAUAUGGGAUCUUGUCGAAACAGGAAUAUUUGUAUUAAGGAAGAAAAGUAACCAGGUAUCUGGUUUGCAUUUGUAUCACCACGUCUCUACGUUAAGUCUGAUAUGGAUCUGUAUAAGAUAUUACGCUGUUAGCCCCCUAUUGCUUUUCUGCAUAACCAACAACUUCGUACAUGUGAUAAUGUAUAUAUACUAUUUCUUAACAACUUGUGGACCGACCGUUCAAAAACCUGCUGCAUUUAUAAAACAAUGGAUAACUACAGUACAAAUGAUUCAAUUCGUAGUGCUAAUGAUGUAUUUAAUACAUCCAUUCAUAGUUGGCUGCAAAAUCGGGACAGAUCGUAAUGAUUGGCUCGUAUUAGUAAGCAUUAUAGAUAUAUCAAUAAAUUUGUUCAAUUUCCGUAAUUUCUAUCAAUCGUCAUACAAGAAAAGUAAAAAACUUAGUAGAUUAUAAAAUAUAAAUUGAAAAAGUAUUUUUCUACAAUAAAAAAUUCGAUGAAAUUAUUUUCGUUCUGUUGUCCUGUAUUGUAUAUGCAUAAUAUAUAAUAUAUUAAAUAAACAAAUAAAUAAAUAAAUAUAUAUACACACACAUACACACACCCACACACAGGGUAUCCCAAAAGUUCGGCAACUGUCAAAUAUCUCGAAACUAAGCAUUUUAGGAAAAAAUGUUUCAGACAAAAGUUGUAAAGUUUCAAAAGAUCUGUUUACUGAUCUUAUCAGUUUGACCUUGGAUGGCGUCGCCAAUGUCAGAUCAAAAUCACAUUAACUUUUUUAAAUAGAACACCCUACUUUUGAUUCCAGAAUCUAAUAGCUCGUGUCAAGACCUUUCCAAAACUUCCAAAGCAACUAUUCAAGGUCAAAUUGUUUGAUCAUAUUGUGACGUGACAGAUUUUUUCCCUCACCACUGUACAGGGUGUUGCAGAUACAUUUGGGACACACAAUUGAUUAGGCGUAAUGAAAUUUGUCAUGUAAAAUAAUCAUUAAAAUUAUUAAUUCUCUAAAAAAA